rnacentral:rRNA from 1 species
AUGAUUGUUCUGUGACUGAGUGGCGGACGGGUGAGUAACGCGUGGGUAACCUGCCUCAUACAGGGGGAUAACAGUUGGAAACGGCUGCUAAUACCGCAUAAGCGCACAGCAUCGCAUGAUGCAGUGUGAAAAACUCCGGUGGUAUGAGAUGGACCCGCGUCUGAUUAGGUAGUUGGUGGGGUAACGGCCCACCAAGGCGACGAUCAGUAGCCGGCCUGAGAGGGUGAACGGCCACACUGGAACUGAGACACGGUCCAGACUCC